rnacentral:rRNA from 1 species
UACAGAGGUCCCAAGCGUUGUUCGGAUUCACUGGGCGUAAAGGUUGCGUAGGUGGUGAGGUAAGUCGGAUGUGAAAGCUCGGAGCUCAACUCCGAAAUGGCAUUGGAAACUACCUCGCUCGAGGGUUGGAGGGGGGACUGGAAUUUACGGUGUAGCGGUGAAAUGCGUAGAUAUCGUAAGGAAGACCAGUGGCGAAGGCGGGUCUCUGGACAGUUCCUGACGCUGAGGCACGAAGGCCAGGGGAGCAAACGGG